GAUGAACGCUAGCUACAGGCUUAACACAUGCAAGCCGAGGGGUAACGAGAGGAAAGCUUGCUUUCCUUGUCGACGACCGGCGCACGGGUGAGUAACGCGUAUCCAACCUGCCCCCAACUAAGGAAUAACCUUGCGAAAGUAAGACUAAUACCUUAUAAUUUCCUCAGAUGUCAUCUGACGAGGAAUAAAGAUUUAUCGGUUGUGGAUGGGGAUGCGUCUGAUUAGCUUGUUGGCGGGGUAACGGCCCACCAAGGCAACGAUCAGUAGGGGUUCUGAGAGGAAGGUCCCCCACAUUGGAGCUGAGACACGGUCCAAACUCCUACGGGAGGCAGCAGUGAGGAAUAUUGGUCAAUGGGCGGAAGCCUGAACCAGCCAAGUAGCGUGCAGGAUGACGGCCCUAUGGGUUGUAAACUGCUUUUAUACAGGAAUAAAGUUAGCCACGUGUGGUUAUUUGUAGGUACUGUAUGAAUAAGGACCGGCUAAUUCCGUGCCAGCCGCCGCGGUAA
rnacentral:rRNA from 1 species